GAUGAACGCUAGCUACAGGCUUAACACAUGCAAGUCGAGGGGUAACGAGAAGAAAGCUUGCUUUCCUUGUCGACGACCGGCGCACGGGUGAGUAACGCGUAUCCAACCUGCCCCCAACUAGGGAAUAACCUUGCGAAAGUAAGACUAAUACCCUAUAAUUUCCUCAGAUGUCAUCUGACGAGGAAUAAAGAUUUAUCGGUUGUGGAUGGGGAUGCGUCCGAUUAGCUUGUUGGCGGGGUAACGGCCCACCAAGGCAACGAUCAGUAGGGGUUCUGAGAGGAAGGUCCCCCACAUUGGAACUGAGACACGGACCAAACUCCUACGGGAGGCAGCAGUGAGGAAUAUUGGUCAAUGGGCGGAAGCCUGAACCAGCCAAGUAGCGUGCAGGAUGACGGCCCUAUGGGUUGUAAACUGCUUUUAUACAGGAAUAAAGUUAGCCACGUGUGGUUAUUUGUAGGUACUGUAUGAAUAAGGACCGGCUAAUUCUGUGCCAGCCGCCGCAGUAA
rnacentral:rRNA from 1 species